rnacentral:rRNA from 1 species
AUGCCCAGACUGUAUGUGAAGGAUUUUGAUGACGCCGUCAGACAAGUGGUUGAUCUUUUGUGUGAAACCGAUGGUACUGCAGAAGGCAACAUUAAAACAUUCUUGCUCCGUGGUUGGUUCGUCCAGAAUGCUGGUCGGGUAUUGGGAGGAUGUGCUGUUCUUAGAGCUAUAGCGAAACUUCUAUCCACAAUACGUGAUGAUUCUGACAUGAGAAAGCACUUUGACAGAAUUAUCCAUGUGGACUGCUCCCUGUGGAAAAGCAGCAGGACCAUGCAGAGGACAAUAGCAGAGGAGUUGAACCUUCGCCAUGUAAUGCACAUAUUUGAUAAGGAGGAUGAACAUGAUGAUUUCAGUGGGGUAGACAACAGCUCUAGAAAAGCGAUACCAAGGAUCGCAAGUUUGAUUAAUAAGUCUCUAAGAGAUGAAAGAUUUCUGAUGAUUUUUCACAAUGGAGGAGGUGAAGGUAUUGAUCUGGUAGAGUGUGGCAUUCCACUUUAUGGUGAAGGUAAAUUGUUAUGUACCUAUGGUGGAAGAUUUUUGGGGGACGAGUGGAAAGAAUUCAAGUUGAUGCACACUUCUGCUAAUAUUAAUAUUUAUCUGGCGGCAUAUUCUACAUAUAUUGCUGCACCACUUAUUGAAAAUGUAUUGCACAAAGAAGCUGCUGCAGUGAUUGGUGACACCGGUCUGGAUGGCAUCAACACAGAAACAGUUUUGGAUUGCUUCUUGUACACAUUAUUCCUAACAACAAGACUACCUGAAAACUUUACUGGUGUUGACUAUGGUUGGGCGACUCAUGCUUGUAACUACUGGAUAUGUGAUGGAAUCCUUGGUGAGGACAAAACAUGGGAGAUUGGCAAUACAUUGUAUCAUGUGAUACCACUGUUGGGCAAUUCUACUUUCGAAACAAGACUUUUGGCAUCCUAUUUGGAUGGACAGAAAAAACCCUAUGUGGGCUGGUAUUCAGUCACCUCCAACAAACUAAGGGCAGACGAUAUCUCUAAUGUUCCUGGCAGUGCAUCAUCAUAUUUCUUAACAUUUCAGGGAGAUGAUCCAGUAUAUGUACGUAAUGAUUUGUUUCAACUAGCCAGCAACAACCUCCGUGUGCUAAAGCUCUGCAACUGUAGCUUCAAUUUCGCAUCUCCUCCUUUUCAGUGCUGCCACAACCUAAGAUUCCUUUGGCUUGACCAUUGUGCAAACACUGGGAAGGAGGAGCAAAGUGGAGGGCCAAGUUUUCCGAACCUGCUGGUGCUUGAAUUACGUUUCACAGAGUAUGUUUUCUUGCCUCAGAUGAUUGAACUGAUGACCAAUCUCAGGGAGCUAAAUACAAAGGGGGUCUCAUGGAAGACUGCAAGUCAUGCAUGGAAAAAGCUACAGAAGCUUCAGAAGCUCCGAUUAACAGAAUCUUCAGAUGUGGUCACGGUGGACAGUUGCUCUUCCGUAGAUAUGAUGAACCUGGAGCUCCUUGACUUGUCGGGAAACACUCACCUGGAAUCAUUGCCAACAUUAUCAUCCGCAAGAAGCCUGAAGACGCUUAUUCUUGAUGGUUGUUCCAGCUUGGAGCAAGUUGCCCUGCAAGGAGCUCCUCCACUGCUUGAAAGUUUUAGCUUCGAUGGUUAUGGCCCAGCAGAGAAUUGGACACAUUCCAUACACCUGCCACAAAAGGAAUUGCGCCUCAAGUCUCCUUUAGCUCCGGUUGAAAUAGUCAAGGUGACAAAGAUCUCCCUACACGGUUGUGGUCGAUUGCAUAACAUAUUCCUGCGUGCACUGCCCAAUCUGGAGGAACUGGACCUCUCUGGUACAGCUAUUAAAAUAAUUGACCUCCAUGCAAUGGAUGUCCCGAAACUCAAGAAGCUAUUCCUACUGGGCUGUGAGAGGCUCCGUAGCCUAAUCUGGGAAGGAUAUUCACCUAGACUGGAAGUUCUACAUGUGGAUACUCAAGGGACGAAAAGAUCAGUGGUCUGCUGUGGAGAACAGGUAUCCUUUGACAUUCAGGCACAUAUUGUCUUUAUGGAUGGAAGGUUCAUUUGGUCAUUCUCAGCGGGGCUCAAUAGCCGAUCACAAAAUUCUGUCCCCAAGGUGUACCUCCUUAUCUCUUGUACGAGCCGUAGCCAAGCCAACAUCACCAAAAGUAUCAAGGAGAUUGGAUCUAGCCGACGGGGUUUGGUUCCAACAAGGCCGUUAUUACCGUAUAAUGAUAUUGCCCUGGCUAAAGAUGUUACAUGCUCACUCUUGGUGUGGAACUGUCGACAGCUCCAAGCUUUGAAUGUGCAUAUCGAGAUUGGUAAAGGAAGCUAUAAUUUAGAGAGUAUGCAAGAUGAAGGGGAUUUCAGAAGUUUCGCAGAAGAUGUCGUUGAAUCAUUGCAUGUGCAUGACAAUUGCUCCAUCACUGCUAUCCCCCCAACGGAUUGGUCAUACUGGCAGAGACUAAAAUGGUGUCAUGUUGAGAGGUGCCCCAAGCUACACUCUGUGUUUCCAUCUCGGGAUAGAACAUACAGCUUUCAGCAUAUAAACAUAUUUUCAGCUUCUGAUCUCCUGGUGGCCUAUUGCAUCUGGGGAGGCAUCAAGAAAACUUGGGAUGGCUUUUAUCACACACACCAGAGUCUCCCACAACUGCAGCACAUAUACCUGUACAAUUGCCCAAGGCUGGUGUUCGUCCUCCCCAUUUCCUUCACCUUGCCCAACUUGGAGACCCUCCAAAUUGCAUACUGCAGUAACCUCCGGCAUGUUUUCCCAUGGGACCACGAGACUGAGCAAAUAGCAUCUGGUUUCACAUUCGACAACCUGAAGCACAUCAAGCUACACCAUCUUCACAAGGUGGAGCAGAUAUGUGAGGUCAAAUUGACUGCACCUGCGUUGCAGACAAUUGGCCUCAGGGACUGCUGGGGUCUCAGGCGUCUCCCGGCUGUAGCACGUCAAGGUCCUAAGCCGGUGGUGGACUGCGAGAAGGACUUGUGGGACAAGCUCAAAUGGGAUGGCUUGAGGGCUGGACAUCACCCAUCGCUCUUCGAAACGCGCCACUCAACCUACUAUAAGAAGACCCUCCCGAGGGGCUCCUAUCUAAGGUGA